rnacentral:rRNA from 1 species
AUGGGGGCGGCGCCGUCGACGCCGAGGCUGGGCGAGGCGGACGCCGCGUCGCCGAGGGCGGCGGAGCAGAUGUUCGCCGCGCUCGUCGGCGACAGGGCCUACCCGAUCUCCUCCGAAUUCUGGAGGCAGCUGCUUGAGCUGCCCCUCACCCAGCAGUGGCCGCGGGACCGCGUGCUGCAGGCCUGCCACGCCUUCGCGCAGAACAACUAUAAUACAAAGCAUCUUGCAAAGAUCUUGAUCCAUUUGGUUUGGUGUUUGCAAGAGUGCACAUCGGCUUCUUCUGUCUCUUCUAGCGUCUAUAGAAAGGCUAUCAAUGCUGCCUAUAUAUCAUCCAUAUUUCUCAAGUUCAUUAUUGAGAAUGCCAAGGCGGAUAAUUGGCAAGAGCUAUGCCUUGACAUCGACAAGGAUGAAAAGGGGCUGGAAAAUUUUCCUUCUGACCAAAGUGUGGAGUAUUUUCUGAUGAAGGGGGUGCUGAACUACAUUGGUAGUGUAGAUGUAAGUCCGGAGUCAUGCUACCUACAUCACGAGCUUCUGAACUUGAUGCUAGUCCUUAUGUCGACUCAGUUAUGUUCUGGACCAUCUCCAGAACCAAAAGAUGUGCAUCCUUUCAUUGAUGCGGCUAUGCUUCAGGACAGUUCCAUAGUAGCUUCGGUUGUUCAAAAGUUGCUACUUAAUUUUGUAAGACGGCCACAAAUUCCUUCAAAUGGUUCACACCCUGUUUUCUCUGAUGAUGGUGGGCCUGGGGUUCUGCAACGAGUUGGCUCAGCAGCUGCAAAUUUUGUACUACUGCCAUAUUAUACUUUCAACUAUUUUGUAAGUGCAAGUGCUGAAGGUGCGACAAGUCAAUUGGCAGACAACAGUUUACUUGUUCUGCUUAUUCUGAUCCACUACCGAAAAUGCAUUUCAAUGAAUGAGUCCAUUCCAACCAAUGGUGUCUACAUGAGUGAUUCAAAUACCAAUGUCAAGGAUGCACCAGCUUUUCAUGAGAACCCUUACUGCAAGGCGCUAAACAAUGCUAAGGACAUUCAAUUUGAUCAUGCCGAUGUUGAGGGAAACGCUCAAAAUGGACCCGUUGUCAGGCUGUCUUUUGCAUCGCUGUUUGAUGCUCUUGGCACAUGCUUAAAAGAUGAGAGCUCAGUUCUGUUGCUCUAUUCUCUGGUCCAUGGGAACUGCGAUUUUCAGGAGUAUGUUUUGGUUCGAACAGACUUGGAUACUUUGCUUAUGCCUAUUUUGGAAAUGCUCUACAAUGCAUCAAGGAAGACUUCCAAUCAGAUCUACAUGCUGUUGAUAAUUCUCCUGAUACUCAGUCAAGAUUCAACCUUCAAUGCUAGUGUGCACAAAUUGGUGCUUCCUAGCGUUCCUUGGUACCAGGAGCGUCUCAUGCAUCAAACUUCUCUGGGAUCGUUGAUGGUUGUAGUACUAAUCCGAACCAUCAAGUACAACCUCUCCAAGCUGCGAGAUGUCUACCUUCACACGAACUGUCUUGCAAUUCUAGCAAACAUGGGUCCUCAUGCGCAUAGGCUGAGUGCAUAUGCAUCUCAAAGGCUGGUUAGCCUCUUUGACAUGCUUUCUCGCAAGUAUGCGAAAUUAGCCGAGGUAAAAAAUGACAAGGCUCUCAAAGUUAUGUCUGAUCAAAUGGAAGCAGACAUCAUUUCAGAUGAUAUGUCAACGGAGCUUCACAUAUACACUGACUUCUUAAGAAUCGUUCUGGAAAUCAUCAAUGCAAUCCUUACAUAUGCAUUACCCAGAAAUCCUGAGGUUGUGUAUGCUAUAUUGCACCGACAAGAGGUUUUUCAGCCCUUCAAGAACCAUCCUCGUUUCAAUGAAUUGCUUGAGAAUAUAUACACAGUGUUAGAUUUCUUCAACAGUAGAAUGGACAUGCAACAGUUAGACGGGGAAUGGUCUGUUGACAAGGUUCUUGAGCUCAUUAAUAAAAAUUGCCGUUCAUGGCGUGGAGAAGGAAUGAAGAUGUUUACGCAGUUACGGUUUACAUAUGAGCAAGAAAGUCAUCCUGAGGAAUUCUUCAUUCCAUAUGCAUGGAGACUUAUACUAUCACGAGGAUUCUCUUUCAAUCCUGGUGCCAUAAAUUUGUUCCCAGUGGAGAUUCAUGUUGAUGAUUCACCAUCCAGCGAACAAAAGGUUUAG